GAUGAACGCUAGCGGCAGGCCUAAUACAUGCAAGUCGAACGAUAUUAUCCAGCUUGCUGGAUAUGAAAGUGGCGCACGGGUGCGUAACGCGUAUGCAACCUACCUUAUUCAGGGGGAUAGCCCGAAGAAAUUCGGAUUAACACCGCAUAAAAUCACAAUUCAGCAUUGGACAAUGAUCAAAUAUUUAUAGGAAUAAGAUGGGCAUGCGUGUCAUUAGCUAGUUGGCGGGGUAACGGCCCACCAAGGCGACGAUGACUAGGGGAUCUGAGAGGAUGGCCCCCCACACUGGUACUGAGACACGGACCAGACUCCUACGGGAGGCAGCAGUAAGGAAUAUUGGUCAAUGGAGGGAACUCUGAACCAGCCAUGCCGCGUGCAGGAAGACGGCCCUCUGGGUCGUAAACUGCUUUUAUUCGGGAAUAAACCUAUUUACGUGUAAAUAGCUGAAUGUACCGAAGGAAUAAGGAUCGGCUAACUCCGUGCCAGCCGCCGCAGUAA
rnacentral:rRNA from 1 species